AUGCCAACAAAUCCGUUCUCGUCGGGCCUCCGACACGGCGACGCCGAUGCCGCGCAAGCGCAAUCGAAGCCAAUCAUCACCCCGACGACGGAUCCUGAACGCAUCGACAAAUCGCUCUUGCCGCUAAAGAAGAGGGCGACGAGCGACAGUAGCGACCGCGAGGAUUCUUGUUUCCUAGUCCCACUUCCACCCAAGAAGAGACGGGUAGAUGCCCGCCUAAUUCCACUUCAGAGCCACCUGGACCUACUAUACCAGACGGUGACAGAAGUUGGCACCAGCGCGUCCAGUCCCGACGCGACCACGUCCCAACACCAGAGACUCACGAGCGGCGGCGACGAGCAACCCUUACACGUGACGCGGCCGAGGCGACCAGCGGCGCGCGACGGCGCAUACGUGACCAUGGAGGAAGACGAGACGGCACCAGCCAAGAAUAAGAAGAAGAGGAAGAAGACGAAUAGGAACAGGGAUCGAAAGAAGAAAUCGCUGCCGGCGCGGGUCGCCGCCCCGCCGCCGCUGCGCCUCGGCACGGGGCUGACGCAGCACCUCGAGACGCUCGGCGCCACGGCUCCGCAGUUCGUCUGCGUCAAGAACCUACAGAAGAGCGACGUGGACCUCAACCAGAACCGCCUCCUCUUCUCGUGCAAGCGCGUCUCCAUCGAGCGCCACCCCAUCACCGGUCUCCUCUCCCACAAGGAGACCUACCUUGUCCAUGAGUGCAAGGACGGCCUGCGCGUCACCGCCUUCGACGACCACGGCAACGAGUUCGGCUUCAAGCUCCGGUACCUCCGCUCCAACGGCGCCUACCGCUUCAUCGGCGACUGGGGCGACUUCGUGACGGAGCACGGGAUGCAGAUCCAUGUUGACGUCCAGCUGUGGGCGUUCCGGUCACCGAGCUUGCCCGUGCAGCCCAAGUUGCCCGACAAAGACAAGCAGCGGAGACUCGACGGACUCCAGGCUCACCCUGACGGCGCCCUCGGCCUUCUCCUUCUCUUCCAAGUACGGCACCACGACGCAAGAAACGUCCACCACGCCGAGGAAGAAAAAGAGCGUGCGCCGGCGCCGCGGCCGGUCCAUGAGACCAAGAGGAAGGCAUCGGCGCGACAAGACAACCUCGCGGAUCCGCAUGUGAGUCAGAAUAUCACGUCGGAAGACAUGGUUACGGCGGUUGGGAAGGAGAUGGCGGAUGCCUUGAUGGGGCUCUUGAUGCUCCGCUCCAUUUGCCUCCGUUCCAAAACAGAUCCUUGCUUGUUAGGACAACAUUUUGACCCUAAUUUUACUUUAUCUACUAGCUAA
rnacentral:rRNA from 1 species